GCGGAAGUGGCGAAAUUGGCAGACGCACCAUCUUGAGGGGGUGGCGCCGGUAGGCGUGCGGGUUCAAAUCCCGCCUUCCGCA
rnacentral:tRNA from 1 species